AUACGUAGGUGGCAAGCGUUGUCCGGAAUUAUUGGGCGUAAAGCGCGCGCAGGCGGUCCUUAAGUCUGAUGUGAAAGCCCACGGCUCAACCGUGGAGGGUCAUUGGAAAAUGGGGGACUUGAGUGCAGAAGAGGAAAGUGGAAUUCCAAGGGUAGCGGGGAAAUGCGUAGAGAUUUGGAGGAACACCAGUGGCGAAGGCGAAUUUCUGGUCUGUAACGGACGCUGAGGCGCGAAAGCGUGGGGAGCAAACAGGAUUAGAUACCCUGGUAGUCCACGCCGUAAACGAUGAGUGCUAAGUGUUAGGGGGUUUCCGCCCCUUAGUGCUGCAGCUAACGCAUUAAGCACUCCGCCUGGGGAGUACGGUCGCAAGACUGAAACUCAAAGGAAUUGACGGGG
rnacentral:rRNA from 1 species